rnacentral:rRNA from 1 species
GUCGAGGGGUAGUUAUCUUCUGAUAAUGAGACCGGCGCACGGGUGCGUAACGCGUAUACAAUCUACCUUUUACAGAGGGAUAGCCCAGAGAAAUUUGGAUUAAUACCUCAUAGUAUUUUUGAAUGGCAUCAUUUGAUUAUUAAAGUUCCAACGGUAAAAGAUGAGUAUGCGUCCCAUUAGCUAGAUGGUAAGGUAACGGCUUACCAUGGCUACGAUGGGUAGGGGUCCUGAGAGGGAGAUCCCCCACACUGGUACUGAGACACGGACCAGACUCCUACGGGAGGCAGCAGUGAGGAAUAUUGGACAAUGGGCGCAAGCCUGAUCCAGCCAUGCCGCGUGCAGGAAGAAGGUCCUAUGGAUUGUAAACUGCUUUUAUACAGGAAGAAACACACCCUCGUGAGGGUACUUGACGGUACUGUAUGAAUAAGGACCGGCUAACUCCGUGCCAGCAGCCGCGGUAAUACGGAGGGUCCAAGCGUUAUCCGGAAUCAUUGGGUUUAAAGGGUCCGUAGGCGGUUUAAUAAGUCAGUGGUGAAAGCCCAUCGCUCAACGAUGGAACGGCCAUUGAUACUGUUAAACUUGAAUUAUUAGGAAGUAACUAGAAUAUGUUAGUGUAGCGGUGAAAUGC